UCGCGCUAGACGGGGAGUUAGCGGUGCCCUGUAACCCGCAAUCCGCUACAGCGGGGUCGAUGUUCGGUCGAGGGUUCGUUCCUAAGAGGACGGCCGUCGGAAACAGUGGUGUUGAGGAUUGGGUCCUGCGCAACGCAGCCUCCUGAAUCGUGUCAGGUCCGGAAGGAAGCAGCACUAAGGGAAUCGUUGUGUGUGCCGCAGGGUCGCCUGGUCGGAGCCGCUGUCGACGGUACGCUUUGAGGUCGGAUUCGGAGCCGAAUGCACGA
rnacentral:SRP_RNA from 1 species